GACGAACGCUGGCGGCGUGCUUAACACAUGCAAGUCGAAUGGAAAGGCCCUGCUUUUGUGGGGUGCUCGAGUGGCGAACGGGUGAGUAACACGUGAGUAACCUGCCCUUGACUUUGGGAUAACUUCAGGAAACUGGGGCUAAUACCGGAUAGGAGCUCCUGCUGCAUGGUGGGGGUUGGAAAGUUUCGGCGGUUGGGGAUGGACUCGCGGCUUAUCAGCUUGUUGGUGGGGUAGUGGCUUACCAAGGCUUUGACGGGUAGCCGGCCUGAGAGGGUGACCGGCCACAUUGGGACUGAGAUACGGCCCAGACUCCUACGGGAGGCAGCAGUGGGGAAUAUUGUACAAUGGGCGGAAGCCUGAUGCAGCAACGCCGCGUGCGGGAUGACGGCCUUCGGGUUGUAAACCGCUUUCGCCUGUGACGAAGCGUGAGUGACGGUAAUGGGUAAAGAAGCACCGGCUAACUACGUG
rnacentral:rRNA from 1 species